CAGUAGCCGCGGUAAUACGGAGGAUGCAAGCGUUAUCCGGAAUGAUUGGGCGUAAAGCGUCUGUAGGUGGCUUUUCAAGUCCGCCGUCAAAUCCCAGGGCUCAACCCUGGACAGGCGGUGGAAACUACCAAGCUUGAGUACAGUAGGGGCAGAGGGAACUUCCAGUGGAGCGGUGAAAUGCGUUGAGAUCGGAAAGAACACCAAUGACAAAAGCACUCUGUUGGGCUGACACUGACACUGAGAGACGAAAGCUAGGGGAGCAAAUGGAUUAGAUACCCCUGUAGUCCCUGUCUCUUAUAAC
rnacentral:rRNA from 1 species